AUGUUGAUUAAAUUGAUAAAAGAUGCUGCCCGAGCCGGUAUUUACAUGAGAAGUGAUAAUCUAUACCUUUCUGCUUUUAGUAACAAAGAUGAUGAAAUCUUUGAGCUUGUGACGCAUCCUUCUUACCGAAUAAUCAAAGAUUCUAUUCCAUUCGGAUGUAGCACGGAGUACCCCAGCAUGAUGAACUAUGAAAGAACUAAAUAUGUUCCAGCAGAUCAAACUGAGAAGAGGUUGCUGGAGAUAAUUCUUAACAUGGAUAAAUUUGAACAUGGCGUUGAAGUGCUGUCAAAUUAUGACCAUGCCAUUAUGUCAGAUCCGCUUGUGAGCCAGGAUGUGAGACAACAAAAGAUUCAAGAAGUCCAAGAGGCUUUAGCUCGAAAGGCAGUGGUUCUAGGGGAAGUUUCCCGCAUUGUAGAGUUAUUCUUAUCUGUGAUUCAGAAAUGGAAGGAAGGCCGUUCAUUCCUUACAAAACUGUUGUUUGAGUAUAUGAUGCAUUGGAAAGUUAUGUCAGAUAAGGUUCGCAAUGGUAGUGUUGAUGAUCAGUUUAGCAAAGAAAUUGAGUCUGUAAUCUUGCUGAAGUUCAGAUCUGAUGCAAUUAAGCUUCUCAAUGUGGUGUGCAACUCCAAGGGGCCUGGACUUGAUAAGAAGAGACCCACGGAACCUGGUGAUGAUGACAAAGGAUCAGAGGAUCCUGGUGAUGAUGACAAAAGAUCAGAGGAUCCUGGUGACGAUGACAAAGGAUCAGAGGAUCCUUGUGACAAUGACAAAGGAUCAGAGGUUCCUGGGUCAAGCUAUGGACUGACUGGUCACGAUAAGGAUAAGAAAGGAAACAGACCUGGAUCUGAACCAUUUGAUAGUUGCGAUGUCAACCUGGAGGGUGGCCGUGAGGGUGGAGAACAGAAGAACUAUAAUGAUAGCAUGCCAGGGAUAAGCUCUAGACCACUUGAUAGUUGUGAUGUCAACCUGGAGGGUGCCCGCGAGGGUGGAAAACAGAAGGAGAAUGAUAGCAUGCCAGGGACAAGUGACAUGAGCAAAAUCGCAAUAGCUUUCAUGCUAGGAUUGGCUGUUAACAAGAACUUGCUCGAGCCUUUGAUCAGGAAAAGAAGUUUAGAACCUUUCGUCAUCACAAAAAAAGGGGUGAACUUCUCAAUCAUCAGCCGAAGGAGUGUGGAACCUUUGCCAUUGCUACCUGGUUCUCCAGGAUCUGAACAUGCAACUGGUUUGGGUCAAGUGCUGCCAUUAAUACCAGAUUCUUCAAUGUCUUUACAUGGACAUGGUCUGGAUCCGCUGCUGCUGCCAGGGACAAUUCCACGUGGCCCUGCUGUCAGCUCGUUUGGACGGUCUUUACAUGGACAUGGUUUGGAUCUGAUUGUGCCGAGGAUGCUGCCAUGGAUAAUUCCACCUGUCCUUGCUGUCAGCUCUUCUGGACGUGGAUUGGAGAUGGUUCUAGAGCCGAGCCGCUAUAAAACUCCUGAUUUUUCCUUGAUUUCUUUAGACGAACCAGAUCUGGGUGAGGCGCAAGAACGGAUCAGUGCUAGUGGGAGUUCGAGUGCUAGUGGGAGUUCGACCGAGGAAGAUAUGGUUAGCUUCUUCCAGGAAUUUAUCUCCUCGGAAUCAUAUCCUCUUUCUACAGGCCAGACACUUCUUGAAAUUUUCUGUAUCCACACAAACUUGAGCUUGAUAAAGACUAUUGUUCUGUAUGAUGAUCGAGGUGGUAAUCUUAUCUAUGAGUCCAAGAAAGGAGAAAAGGAGCAGUUUAUCAAAAGACGCUCUAAUUGGUUGUCCGAGCAUACAGGAAAAAAACAAUCCGCUUUCAUUGAUUGCCUUGUUCUUGAAGGCCCAAGCCGUCCUAUGACUGCUCAUGCAGACUUGUGGAUCGUUCAAAUUGAUGUGCCAGCUGAAUCAUCUUUUAUUAAGCUUGAAGAUGAAGAUCCUGAAGUACCCGGGAGUGUAUUUGAGGCCACAUUACUGUUGGAUGAUGAUUACAUUGACAAAACCAAUAGCAGUUUGAUUUCUUUGAGAGGUGGCUUUCUGAAUAUUACAUUGGUGACUUUCAGCAAUGCAGUGUCAUCAUCAGUCAGAUUGGCAUUUCAUGUUUCUCCUAUUAGCAGUUUUGGUGAUUGCCCUAAAGUGGAGGGUGACCUUGCAUUAUAUGUUGAAAAUUAUCCAGUUGGUUUCAGUAUCUUGAAGAAUCAAGUCGAGGAUGAUGCUGUACAUUUGGUGAGACUGGGUCCUUCUGUUUUCGAACUUCCCUUGACAAGGCAUGUUCUUGCACUGCCCAUUGGUUCUACUGUACAUGUCUUAGGGACUUUGAAACUACCAAGUUUGGAAGUGUGUGUGGAUCAGCAUUUGCGGCUCGACAAGAACGUUAUUCGGGCUGAAUGGCAUAUGGAUUCUAGCGUGAGUGCUGCUAUAUGGAUUGAGUCAAGUUCAUGUUUCUAG
rnacentral:rRNA from 1 species